CCCGCUGAACUUAAGCAUAUCAAUAAGCGGAGGAAAAGAAACUAACAAGGAUUCCCCUAGUAACUGCGAGUGAAGCGGGAAGAGCUCAAAUUUAAAAUCUGGCGGUCUCACGGCCGUCCGAGUUGUAAUCUGGAGAAGCGUUUUCCGCGUCGGACCGUGUACAAGUCUUCUGGAACGGAGCGUCGUAGAGGGUGAGAAUCCCGUCUCUGACACGGACAGCCGAUGCUUCAUGUGAUACGCUCUCGAAGAGUCGAGUUGUUUGGGAAUGCAGCUCAAAAUGGGUGGUAAAUUCCAUCUAAAGCUAAAUAUUGGCGAGAGACCGAUAGCGAACAAGUACCGUGAGGGAAAGAUGAAAAGAACUUUGGAAAGAGAGUUAAACAGUACGUGAAAUUGUUGAAAGGGAAACGCUUGAAGUCAGUCACACCGUUCAGGAUUCAGCCUUGCUUCUGCUUGGUUUACUUCUCGGCUGACGGGUCAGUGUCAAUUUUGGGCCUCGGAUAAUGACAAGGGAAAGGUGGCACCUUUACAGGUGUGUUAUAGUCUCCUGUCGGAUGCGAGGGUCGGGAUUGAGGGACUCAGCACGCGCCUUUUGGUGUCGGGGCUUCGGCCUACGCUACGUGCUUAGGAUGCUGGCAUAAUGGCUUUAAACGACCCGUCUUGAAACACGG
rnacentral:rRNA from 1 species